AAUGAACGCUGGCGGCGUGCUUAACACAUGCAAGUCGAGCGAGAAAGCUUCUUCGGAAGCGAGUAAAGCGGCGGACGAGUGAGUAAUGCGUGAGAACCUACCCUUUAGUGAGGAAUACCCUCGAGAAAUUGAGGCUAAUACUGCAUAAGUCCCUACGGGGAGAAAGGCAACUUCAUGUUGUCGCUAAUGGAUGGGCUUGCGGGCUAUCAGCUAGUUGGUGAGGUAAUGGCUCACCAAGGCUAUGACGGCUAACCGGCCUGAGAGGGUGUACGGUCACGUUGGAACUGAGAUACGGUCCAAACUCCUACGGGAGGCAGCAGUGAGGAAUAUUGCGCAAUGGGCGAAAGCCUGACGCAGCGACGCCGCGUGGAGGAUGAAGGUCUUCGGAUUGUAAACUCCUGUCAAG
rnacentral:rRNA from 1 species